rnacentral:lncRNA from 1 species
GCACAACCAUAGAAACCUAGUUUUCAACAAUUCGACAGACGUAUCUUUUUCAGCCAGUGCCGCCGUACACAACCCUAGCUGGUAACGAUCGUUAACAAUGUUAGAGGAAAAGAGGCGACGUGAUCUCAGGGGAACUGAAGAACGUACAUGUUACUCGAUCAUAACAUGUUGAGAAUUCAUAGGUUAUAACAGGUAUCCCGUGCAAUCUGACUGCACAUG